GACGAACGCUGGCGGCGUGCUUAACACAUGCAAGUCGAACGGAAAGGCCCUGCUUUUGUGGGGUGCUCGAGUGGCGAACGGGUGAGUAACACGUGAGUAACCUGCCCUUGACUUUGGGAUAACUUCAGGAAACUGGGGCUAAUACCGGAUAGGAGCUCCUGCUGCAUGGUGGGGGUUGGAAAGUUACGGCGGUUGGGGAUAGACUCGCGGCUUAUCAGCUUGUUUGUGGGGUAGUUGCUUACCAAGGCUUUGACGGGUAGCCGGCCUGGGAGGGGUACCGGCCACAUUGGGACUGAGAUACGGCCCAGAAUCCUACGGGAGGCAGCAGUGGGGAAUAUUGCACAGUGGGCGGAAGCCUGAUGCAGCAACGCCGCGUGCGGGAUGACGGCCUUCGGGUUGUAAACCGCUUUCGCCUGUGACGAAGCGUGAGUGACGGUAAUGGGUAAAGAAGCACCGGCUAACUACGUG
rnacentral:rRNA from 1 species